GGGAUGACCCUGGCGAGUGCUGGGCGCAGGCUUCAAACCUGUGGGGUUCUAACGGACCAGUGGUGCGACUCCACCUUCCCC
rnacentral:tRNA from 1 species